rnacentral:rRNA from 1 species
UGCCGGUGAGUGAAGAAGGCCUUCGGGUUGUAAAGCUCUUUUGUCAGGGAAGAAACAGCAGCUCUAACACAGCAUGCGAAUGACGGUACCUGAAGAAUAAGCACCGGCUAACUACGUGCCAGCAGCCGCGGUAAUACGUAGGGUGCAAGCGUUAAUCGGAAUUACUGGGCGUAAAGCGUGCGCAGGCGGUUAUACAAGACAGGUGUGAAAUCCCCGGGCUUAACCUGGGAAUGGCAUCUGUGACUGUAUAGCUAGAGUGUGUCAGAGGGGGGUAGAAUUCCACGUGUAGCAGUGAAAUGCGUAGAGAUGUGGAGGAAUACCAAUGGCGAAGGCAGCCCCCUGGGAUAACACUGACGCUCAUGCACGAAAGCGUGGGGAGCAAACAGGAUUAGAUACCCUGGUAGUCCACGCCCUAAACGAUGCUGACUAGUUGUUCGGGAAUUACUUCCUGAGUAACGUAGCUAACGCGUGAAGUCAGCCGCCUGGGGAGUACGGUCGCAAGAUUAAAACUCAAAGGAAUUGACGGGGACCCGCACAAGCGGUGGAUGAUGUGGAUUAAUUCGAUGCAACGCGAAAAAACUU